AAACUUAAAGGAAGUUGACGGGGCCGCACAAGCGGUGGAGCAUGUGGUUUAAUUCGACGCAACGCGAAGAACCUUACCAGGGCUUGACAUCCCCUGACCGCGUAUGAAAGUACGUUUUCACCCUCGGGUGACAGGGAGACAGGUGGUGCAUGGUUGUCGUCAGCUCGUGUCGUGAGAUGUUGGGUUAAGUCCCGCAACGAGCGCAACCCCUACGUUUAGUUGCUAACGCGUGAAGGCGAGCACUCUAGACGAACUGCCGUUGACAAAACGGAGGAAGGUGGGAUGACGUCAAAUCAUCAUGCCCCUUAUGUUCUGGGCUACACACGUGCUACAAUGGCCGGUACAGACGGACGCAAAGCCGCGAGGUGGAGCAAAUCCUAAAAAGCCGGUCUCAGUUCGGAUUGCAGGCUGCAAUUCGCCUGCAUGAAGUCGGAAUCGCUAGUAAUCGCAGGUCAGCAUACUGCGGUGAAUACGUUCCCGGGCCUU
rnacentral:rRNA from 1 species